GACUGUAACGGUGGCCAAAUGGCAAGGGCGUCAGUCUAGGAUGCGGGAAGUCGUGGGUUCGAUCCCCGGCUGAGUCA